CAACGGGCGGUUAAGAGAAGCUGUGACUCGAGCGCACAGAUGCGAGCUUGCGUCCCUGAUGUUAGCGGCGGACGGGUGAGUAACACGUGGGUAACCUGCCUGUAAGACUGGAUAACUCCGGGAACCGGGGCAAUCCGGAGGUGGUUGACGGAUGGUCAAACUAAAAGGUGGUUUCGGCUACCCUUUUAAGAUGGGGCCCCCCGGGGGCAUUUACUUAUUUGGGGGGGGGAAAACGGCCCCCCCAAGGGAAAAAAUUGGGUUUCCCCCCCUUGGGGGGGGGGGUUGGGCCCCCCCCUGGGGGUUGGAAAAAGGGCCCAAACUUUUUUGGUGGGGGGCGGGGGGGGAUUUUUUCCCCCAAAGAGAAAAAAUUUUUGGGGGAAAACCCCCCCCGGGGGGGGGAGGAAGGUUUUUUUUCAAAAAAAAACCCCCUUUGGGGGGGAAAAAAAAAAACCCCCCCCUUUAGGGGGGUUUUUUUUUUGGGUGUUAAAAAAAAAAACCCCGUUAAUUUUUUUUUGGGCGGGGGGGGAAAAUAAAGGGGGGGGGGGGGGUUCCCCCAUUUUUUUUAAAAAAAGGGGGGGCGGCGUUUUUUUUUUUUUUAUUGAA
rnacentral:rRNA from 1 species